rnacentral:rRNA from 1 species
UACAGAGGUGCAAGCGUUGUUCGGAAUUACUGGGCGUAAAGGGCGCGUAGGCGGCCUUCUAAGUCAGACGUGGAAUCCCCCGGCUUAACCUGGGAACUGCGUCUGAUACUGGGAGGCUUGAGUAUGGGAGAGGGAUGUAGAAUUCCAGGUGUAGCGGUGAAAUGCGUAGAUAUCUGGAGGAAUACCGGUGGCGAAGGCGGCAUCCUGGACCAUAACUGACGCUGAGGCGCGAAAGCUAGGGGAGCAAACGGGG